AUUGAACGCUGGCGGCAGGCCUAACACAUGCAAGUCGAACGGUAACAGGAAACAGCUUGCUGUUUCGCUGACGAGUGGCGGACGGGUGAGUAAUGUCUGGGAAACUGCCUGAUGGAGGGGGAUAACUACUGGAAACGGUAGCUAAUACCGCAUAACGUCGCAAGACCAAAGAGGGGGACCUUCGGGCCUCUUGCCAUCGGAUGUGCCCAGAUGGGAUUAGCUAGUAGGUGGGGUAACGGCUCACCUAGGCGACGAUCCCUAGCUGGUCUGAGAGGAUGACCAGCCCCACUGGGACUGAGACACGGGCCAGACUCCUACGGGAGGCAGCAGUGGGGAAUAUUGCACAAUGGGCGCAAGCCUGAUGCAGCCAUGCCGCGUGUAUGAAGAAGGCCUUCGGGUUGUAAAGUACUUUCAGCGGGGAUGAAGGGAGUAAAGUUAAUACCUUUGCUCAUUGACGUUACCCGCAGAAGAAGCACCGGCUAACUCCGUG
rnacentral:rRNA from 1 species